rnacentral:rRNA from 1 species
AACGAACGCUGGCGGCAUGCCUAAUACAUGCAAGUCGAACGAGUGGCGGACGGGUGAGUAAUGUCUGAGCAACUGCCUAAUGUAGGGGGAUAACUACUGGAAACGUUAGAUAAAACUGCAUACCAUCGGUUGUGGCUUGAUGGGUUUAGCGAGUGGGUGGGGUAAAGGCUCACCUAGGCGACGAUCCCUAGCUGACCUGAGAGGGUGACCGGCCACACUGGAACUGAGACACGGUCCAGACUCCUACGGGAGGCAGCAGUGGGGAAUAUUGCACAAUGGACGCAAGCCUGAUACAGCCAUGCCGCGUGUGUGAAGAAGGCCUUCGGGUUGUAAAGUACUUUCGGUGGGGAGGCGUUACCCAAAGAGAAAGCAACGGCUAACUCCGUGCCAGCAGCCGCGGUAAUUC